CUACGGGGUGCACCAGUGGGGAAUAUUGGACAAUGGACGAAAGUCUGAUGCAGCGACAUCGCGUGUGGGAUGACGGCCCUAGGGUUGUAAACCACUUUUUGGAAGCCAUGAAGGCGUCCAGAAUAAGGAACUACUAACUACGUGCCAGCAGUCGCGGUAAGACGUAGGUUUCGAGCGUUGCCCGGUUUUAUUGGGCGUAAAGCGUCUGUAGGUGGUUUUCUAAGUCUUGUUUCAAAGACUCUGACUUAAUCAGAGAAAGGGGCAGGAUACUGGGAGACUAGAGUUAUAUCGGAGUUACUGGAAUUUGUAGUGUAGGGGUAGAAUCCGUGGAUACUACAAAGAACACCAAGCGCGAAGGCGGGUAACUAGGUAUAUACUGACACUCAGAGACGAAAGCUAGGGUAGCCAAUCGGAUUAGAUACCCCAGUAGUC
rnacentral:rRNA from 1 species